GCAGUCGUGGCCGAGUGGUUAAGGCGAUGGACUAGAAAUCCAUUGCGGUGUCCCCGCACAGGUUCGAAUCCUGUCGACUGCG
rnacentral:tRNA from 1 species